rnacentral:rRNA from 1 species
UGGGAGGCAGCAGUGGGGAAUUUUGGACAAUGGGCGCAAGCCUGAUCCAGCAAUGCCGCGUGCAGGAUGAAGGCCUUCGGGUUGUAAACUGCUUUUGUACGGAGCGAAACAGCCUCUUCUAAUACAGGGGGUGAAUGACGGUACCGUAAGAAUAAGCACCGGCUAACUACGUGCCAGCAGCCGCGGUAAUACGUAGGGUGCAAGCGUUAAUCGGAAUUACUGGGCGUAAAGCGUGCGCAGGCGGUCUUGUAAGACAGAUGUGAAAUCCCCGGGCUUAACCUGGGACCUGCAUUUGUGACUGCAAGGCUGGAGUACGGCAGAGGGGGAUGGAAUUCCGCGUGUAGCAGUGAAAUGCGUAGAUAUGCGGAGGAACACCGAUGGCGAAGGCAGUCCCCUGGGCCUGUACUGACGCUCAUGCACGAAAGCGUGGGGAGCAAACAGGAUUAGAUACCCCUGUAGUCCC